AUUUUCGUGUUUAUUGAAAAAUGUCUUUUCUUUUUGUCUUUGUUUGUUUUUGGGGCUUAGGCUGAGCACAAGAAGGAAAAGAAGGGGAGGAAAGAGAAAGAAGGAGGAGAGAAGAAAUGUACAGGGAAAGAAAAAGAGAUAAUUUCUCUCUUAUUCCGAUUCAGUGGGUUUCAAAAUCUGAA
rnacentral:ribozyme from 13 species